ensembl:lncRNA
GAGACAGAUGGAGCGCUCCCCUUAUCCGGGGCCAACCCUUCCAGAUACGCUGCAGUUUCCCUCUUCUGUCCUCUAGUACUUUUAAAGCACAGCUCUGUUCCUGUAGCUUUGGUGCAUAAACACCUUCAAUGAAAGUACAUACGAUGUCUGAACAACCGAAUAAGCAUUGUGAAAUUAGUGGAAAAUAAACUUUCAAAGAUGUUGGACAAAUAAAAUUUGAAAUGGAACCAUCUACCCUCUAUGACAGUUGCAUGGAAUGUCAGAGAAAAUAUUACCUGGAUUGAGAGGUUACAACAUUACUUCUCCAAGUCAGGCGCUGACUGAAGAGAAACAGAAAAUGGGAAUGAUAAGAUCUACUCUGGAAAAACAAUUUAGCACCAGACUGUUUCACGUAGCACAUAUAGCUUACUGCUAUAUACAAAUGUCUAAAUUACGUGGUGAGA